GACGAACGCUGGCGGCGUGCCUAAUACAUGCAAGUCGAACGCUGAAGGAGGAGCUUUCUUCUCUGGAUGAUUUGCGAACGGGUGAGUAACGCGUGGGUAACCUGCCUGUUAGCGGCGGAUAACUAUUGGAAACGAUAGCUAAUACCGCAUAACAUUAUAUAUCGCAUGAUAUCUACUUGAAAGGUGCAAUUUCAUCACUACCAAAUGGACCUGCGUUGUAUUAUCUAGUUGUUGAGGUAACGGCUAAACAACACGACGAUACAUCCUCGACCGGAGAGGGUGGUCGGCCAAAAUGGGGACGAGAAACGGCCCAGAACUCUUAGGGAGGGAGCCAGAGGGAAACUUCGGGCAUGGGCGGAAGUCUGACCGAGCAACGCCGGGUGAGGGAAGAAGGUUUUCGGGUCCUAAAGAUCUGUUGUAAGAGAAGAAAGAGUGUGAGAGUGGAAAGUUCACACUGUGACGGUAGCUUAUCAGAAAGGCACGGCUAACUACGUG
rnacentral:rRNA from 1 species